rnacentral:rRNA from 1 species
CCAAUCGAACCCGGAGAUAGCUGGUUCUCCUCGAAAUAGCUUUAGGGCUAGCCUCGAUAGAGAUUUGCGGAGGUAGAGCACUGAAUUUCCUAGGGGGCGUCAAAGCCUACCGAAGAAUAUCAAACUCCGAAUGCCAUGUAGACAGGACCGGGAGUCAGACUGCACGAGAUAAGUUGGGCAGUCAAAAGGGAAAGAGCCCAGACCUUCAGUUAAGGUCCCAAAGUGUGCGUUAAGUGGAAAAGGAUGUGGGAUUUCGAAGACAACCAGGAUGUUGGCUCAGAAGCAGCCAUACAUUCAAAGAGUGCGUAAUAGCUCACUGGUCGAGAGGUCCUGCGCCGAAAAUGUCCGGGGCUGAAACGCGCCACCGAAACUAAGGAACCGAAAGGUUGGUAGAGGAGCAUUGCAUGCGGGAUGAAGCAGUACCGUAAGGAGCUGUGGACUGCAUGGAAGAGAGAAUGCCGGAAUGAGUAGCGAGAUAGAGGUGGGAAUCCUCUAGGCCGAAUAUCCAAGGUUUCCAGGGUAAAGCUGAUCUGCCCUGGGUAAGUCGGGGCCUAAGGCGAGGACGAGAGUCGUAGCCGAUGGACAACAGGUGGAGAUUCCUGUACUGCGGUAUGACAGAACUGUGGGGACACGUAAGGAAAGCGGAAGCCGGGAAUGGAAAGCCCGGUGCAAGCGGGGUACCAGUCACUUUGGCAAAUCCGGGUGGCAAUGGGAAGCCGUGAUGCGGAGCGAAAUAAAGUAGCGAAGUCCGUGAGCCAUGCGUCAAGAAAAGCCGCUAUUGUUUAUACCGUACCCGUACCGUAAACCGACACAGGUGGAUGAGGAGAGAAUCCUAAGGCCGGCGGAAGAAGCAUUGUCAAGGAACUCGGCAAAAUGACCCCGUAACUUCGGGAGAAGGGGUGCCUGCGAGAGCAGGCCGCAGAGAAUAGGCUCAAGCAACUGUUUAGCAAAAACACAGGUCUAUGCGAAACCGAAAGGUGAGGUAUAUGGGCUGACGCCUGCCCGGUGCUGGAAGGUUAAGAGGAGAGGUUAGCGCAAGCGAAGCUUUGAAUUUAAGCCCCAGUAAACGGCGGCCGUAACUAUAACGGUCCUAAGGUAGCGAAAUUCCUUGUCGGGUAAGUUCCGACCCGCACGAAAGGCGUAAUGAUUUGAGCGCUGUCUCGACAAUGCAUCCGGUGAAAUUGAAGUACCAGUGAAGAUGCUGGUUACCUGCGCCAGGACGGAAAGACCCCAUGGAGCUUUACUCCAGUUUGGUACUGGGAUCCGGUACUGCAUGUACAGGAUAGGUGGGAGGCUGUGAAAUAGUAACGCCAGUUAUUAUGGAGCCGCUGUUGGGAUACCACCCUUGCAGUAUUGGGUUUCUAACCAGCCGCCGUGACCCGGCGGUGGGACAAUGCCAGACGGGGAGUUUGACUGGGGCGGUCGCCUCCGAAAGGGUAUCGGAGGCGCCCAAAGGUUCCCUCAGAAUGGACGGAAACCAUUCGAAGAGUGCAAAGGCAGAAGGGAGCUUGACUGCGACACCGACGG